rnacentral:rRNA from 1 species
UACGGAGGGAGCUAGCGUUGUUCGGAAUUACUGGGCGUAAAGCGCACGUAGGCGGCUUUUUAAGUCAGGGGUGAAAUCCCGGAGCUCAACUCUGGAACUGCCUUUGAUACUGGGUGUCUUGAGUGUGAGAGAGGUAUGUGGAACUCCGAGUGUAGAGGUGAAAUUCGUAGAUAUUCGGAGGAACACCAGUGGCGAAGGCGGCUCACUGGACCGGCAUUGACGCUGAGGUGCGAAAGCGUGGGGAGCAAACAGG